GACGAACUGUCCUAACGUUGUUCGGAAUCACUGGGCGUAAAGCGCACGUAGGCGGACUAUUAAGUCAGGGGUGAAAUCCCGGGGCUCAACCCCGGAACUGCCUUUGAUACUGGUAGUCUCGAGUCCGGAAGAGGUGAGUGGAAUUCCGAGUGUAGAGGUGAAAUUCGUAGAUAUUCGGAGGAACACCAGUGGCGAAGGCGGCUCACUGGUCCGGUACUGACGCUGAGGUGCGAAAGCGUGGGGAGCAAACAGG
rnacentral:rRNA from 1 species